UACGAAGGGGGCUAGCGUUGCUCGGAAUUACUGGGCGUAAAGCGCACGUAGGCGGCUUUCUAAGUCGGGGGUGAAAUCCUGGAGCUCAACUCCAGAACUGCCUUCGAUACUGGAGAGCUUGAGUCCGGGAGGAGGUGAGUGGAACUGCGAGUGUAGAGGUGAAAUUCGUAGAUAUUCGCAAGAACACCAGUGGCGAAAGGCG
rnacentral:rRNA from 1 species